rnacentral:rRNA from 1 species
UACGUAGGGUGCGAGCGUCAAUCGGAAUUACUGGGCGUAAAGUGUGCGCAGGCGGUCGUUCAAGUCGCGUGUGAAAGCCCCCGGCUCAACUGGGGAGGGUCACGCGAUACUGAUCGACUCGAAGGCAGGAGAGGGAAGUGGAAUUCCCGGUGUAGUGGUGAAAUGCGUAGAUAUCGGGAGGAACACCAGUGGCGAAGGCGACUUCCUGGCCUGUUCUUGACGCUGAGGCGCGAAAGCUAGGGGAGCAAACGGG